AACGCACAUUGCGCCUCCUGGUAUUCCGGGAGGCACGUCCGUUUGAGCGUCAGCUUAAUCUUCCAGAGAACUUUUGUAACCUGGGCUUUGACAUCGGGGGAUCGACCCCUGCCUAAACACGAUGAAGCUGGCGGCACCGACCGCAACGACUCAUAGAAUUUCUACCCGUCGUAAGCGGUUCGGCGCAGCACUUUGAAAAAUCGAGCCCUGCGGCUCUUUAUUUUUGACCUCAAAUCGGACGAGGAUACCCGCUGAACUUAA
rnacentral:misc_RNA from 1 species